GAACGCUGGCGGCGUGCUUAACACAUGCAAGUCGAACGGGAUCCCUGGCGGCCUGGCUGUCGGGGUGAGAGUGGCGAACGGGUGAGUAAUGCGUGACCAACCUGCCCUGUGCACCGGAAUAGCUCCUGGAAACGGGUGGUAAUACCGAUGCUCCGCCCCACCGCAUGGUGGGGUGGGAAAUGCUUUUUGCGGCAUGGGAUGGGGUCGCGUCCUAUCAGCUUGUUGGCGGGGUGAUGGCCCACCAAGGCGUUGACGGGUAGCCGGCCUGAGAGGGUGACCGGCCACAUUGGGACUGAGAUACGGCCCAGACUCCUACGGGAGGCAGCAGUGGGGAAUAUUGCACAAUGGGCGCAAGCCUGAUGCAGCGACGCCGCGUGCGGGAUGGAGGCCUUCGGGUUGUAAACCGCUUUUGUUCAAGGGCAAGGCACGGCUUUGGGCCGUGUUGAGUGGAUUGUUCGAAUAAGCACCGGCUAACUACGUGCCAGCAGCCGCGGUAAUACGUAGGGUGCGAGCGUUAUCCGGAUUUAUUGGGCGUAAAGGGCUCGUAGGCGGUUCGUCGCGUCCGGUGUGAAAGUCCAUCGCCUAACGGUGGAUCUGCG
rnacentral:rRNA from 1 species